AGUGAACGCUGGCGGUAGGCCUAACACAUGCAAGUCGAACGGCAGCACAAGGAGAGCUUGCUCUCUGGGUGGCGAGUGGCGGACGGGUGAGGAAUACAUCGGAAUCUACCUUUUCGUGGGGGAUAACGUAGGGAAACUUACGCUAAUACCGCAUACGACCUACGGGUGAAAGUGGGGACCGCAAGGCCUCACGCGAUUAG
rnacentral:rRNA from 1 species